rnacentral:rRNA from 1 species
CCUACGGGGGGCAGCAGUAGGGAAUAUUGCUUAAUGGGCGAAAGCCUGAAGCAGCAACGCCGCGUGUGCGAUGAAGGCCUUCGGGUUGUAAAGCACUUUUUGGAGGGAUGAGGAAGGACAGUACCUCCAGAAUAAGCCUCGGCUAACUACGUGCCAGCAGCCGCGGUAACACGUAGGAGGCAAGCGUUAUCCGGAUUUACUGGGCGUAAAGCGCGUGCAGGCGGUUCAGAAAGUUGGAUGUGAAAGCUCCUGGCUUAACUGGGAGAGGUCGUUCAAUACUUCUGGACUAGAGUAUGGGAGAGGGAGGUGGAAUUCCGGGUGUAGUGGUGAAAUGCGUAGAUAUCCGGAGGAACAC